UGUCCACCCCAGGAGAAGGUCUGUGUCUGCGUCUGUCUGGCCUGGAGAAGGGCAUGGGGGCCAGCGCUGGGGUCUCCUUUAGUGCCUCUGUUCCUGGAGUCACCUCAUGCCCGAGGAUCUCGGCUUUCUGAAAAGGGACAGUGAGUUUCCAGCCCCUUUAAUGGGGCAAGAAAAUGGGGCCUGUUGCGUACUCCAAAGUUUCACGUGUGAGAAGACAAAUACAACAAACCCCAAAUUUCCUAAUUACAGAUCCUUGUGUUUUCUGAGGUGCGGUUGUAUUCAUUUUAGCACUCCAAGCUGACAACCCAGGCCCCCGCGCAUCAUGGGAUUGCCUUAAAAAAAAAACAUGAGGCUUUUAAAUGAAGAAAAGAAUUAAUUGCUUCAUAUAGUAGCACAGAGGCUUGUGCCGUGCUCUGCAUAAGUAUUGUGGAAACUCAUUGUGUAUCCCAAAUAAUUUGGUGUAGCAAAGGGAUAGCAUUCCUACUGUUGUGGUGUUUUAAAAGUACUUUGGUCACCUCUUCAAGGUUUUCUCGCAAGAGUUGGAAGUGCUGAAAUAAGCUGCGUAGAAGUUUAUCAGCUCUUUGUUGGGAAUGCGUGACUUGGACCACUGCUGUCGGUGCUGGCACAUGGUUUACAAAGUUGGGCACUUGUUGGCAAUGUCAGCAGAAGGCCAAAGGCUCAGUGUGGUUUACUGGGAUGAGGAGGUUUCUGAGAGGCUGUAAUCCCUGCUCCCCUCCACCCAACGGGGCUGAAGCUGUGCUCUGAAUCCCAGCCAAACUGGGGCUGCCCCCGGCUCUGAGUUUAGACUGCUGCCUUUUCACUUGGUAGGCAGGAGACUGAAUCUUUGGGGUCGUCAGCCCAGCACGUGGGGUUGGAUUGGGUACCGUGUAAUCCUCCCUCUUCUCCUGUUUACUCCCCCAGGCCUUCGACAGCAAGGGUGGCACUUCCUGGAGCAAAUGAGACCACUAGUUAUGAUGGAGCAGAGAUGAGUGGACCCGGAGCACCGAGGGCUGCGUGCUUGUGAGCUGGCUGGUAUUUUGGCAUCGCCCAACACUGCAGUUCUGGUCACGGGAGCUGUGCUUUGUGAGCCUUGUACCCACUUAUGGAAAACCAGGCAUGGAGCAGAGCUGCUAAAGCACUGGCUGUGGUUGUGCAGUCACUGCAGCAUGCUAUAAAUCCAGCUGAUGAUGACAGGGACACUCCAAACCCUCCGUACUAUUUAUUCCCUCUGUGGCUGCUGGGUCUCGGCGAGCAGAGGUGUUGCUGCUCUGCUGUUUGCAGCCCGUGAGAGGGCAGCACAAGGCCGCCGGUUGUUGGCUGGGGGUUUUCAGGUGGUGAAAUUGGGCAUCGUUAAUAGUGCGUUGAGAGCAGCAUCGCCCGAUGGAGCCAAUCCUCUGAAACUUCUUCUGAAGCAAUGUGUGAAUGUUUGCUUAAAUCUUGCCCCGGAGCAUCCUCAUUCCAGUGACUAAUGUGUGAAACUGACCAGGAGUAGAAUGAAAAGUUAUUCACUCUGCUUUUUCCUGCGGAUGAAAAGUGCAAUGAACAUUGACCCUUGCUGCAUUUCUGCAGGAGACUGAAAAUCCUUCAUCUUCAUACUGGGCAGGAUCUGUAUCUCUGUCGUCAUUCUGCAGCAUGGCCAGUACUGAUUGCUCUAGAAUAUCAGCUCUUCAGCGAUCAUGGCUGAGUAAUACAGAACUUGCUUUUCCUGGGAUAAUCCAUAGAGAUGGAUGUUGGGCAAUGAAAAUGCAAAAGGAAGCCAGGAUCAUGUGAUUGUGUUGGACCAGGAGAAGGAAAGGGAUCCACAGGGCCCUGCCAGCCCUCCUUGUUUGGGGCAGAAUGAACAGGCUUGCAGGGCUUGCAGGCAUUUGAGCUGUGUCCUGGCCCUCACUGCUUCCUCUGAAGGAAGAUGAGCAUAGCAGAGCAGGAACUUCACCGGUCCAGAGGACUUGCACAUGGAGAGUGCGAGUUUCACUGUUUUUGUGGAAAGGCAAUGACGCUGUGACUUUUGCCAAGACUUGCCAGCUGUGAGAAUGAAAGACUUCCUGUAAAGAGCAGUCCUGAGAGCCACCGGCAUGUCCUGUGGACAACUGAGCAGCUUUGAGACAGGGGACAGCUUUGAAGUCAUUGAGGACUGGGAAAGCUACUGGUUGGGCAUGGUGAGUGAAUUCAGAAGAACGUAACAAGGUGAAUUAAACACCCACUAUUCUUUGCUUGGGGGAGAUUUUAAGCAGGGUUGACAUCUUUAUCCCUUCUCUUGAGGCAGCUCAGGCAAAAAGAAGAGAUGCAAAUCAGUGUUAACUUGGGUGUUUCCUCCCUUUGAUCGUUCUGAGUCACUCAACCUUCAUGUUCUUCUCUUGCUUCUUGGCAAGUGGCAUGUCCAAUGGGGUGAACAGUUCAGCUGCUAGCAUUAGGGGUAGUUUUGGUUGUCCCAGUGCCCUAAGAAAA